rnacentral:tRNA from 1 species
GGGAAGGUAGCUUAGUGGUAGAGUGCUUGCCUAGCAUGCAUGAAGCCCUAGGUUCAAUUCCUCAGCCAGUUCA